CGCCAAUAUGUUUGCGCCUCAUAAACUGUCCACAUGUGUGGUUCGCCAUCGUUCAGUGUUAGCUGUACGGCGUAAACUGUUGGCUCAUCGUCAUUCGUUUCGGGGGUCGCGCUGUGCCUGCACCGCUGAACUCACGCUGCACAAUUUCUGAACUUCGCGUGCGCAGUCGUGAACUGGUUCCAAUUGGUGCAGGUGAAUCGAACGGACCUACUGCCCUCGUUGUUCAGUGGUGGUCAGUUGUGUCAACGCAGUCGGCGUUGGUUGUGCGGUUGACUGUGCGGACCAUUCUAACCGUUGACAGCCGGCGGAUUCUGCUACCGUAUCGUGUUGGAGAUUGCAUGUGAUCUUCCAGUUGUGCCUGUCAAUUCUGUUGCACUUUUCGCGUUGUAGUUUGUUCGCAUUUAUUUCUCUGUCUAAGUGUGCUUGAAGUGUUCGUGUGCGGCUGCUGAAAAGCCAACCCUAACAUGACCCGUGCACUUGCCGGAGACUCAAUGUUGAAGUACCUCGCAGGGUCUUUCACAUUGAGCUCCAGGACACAUGUCGAGGUUCGCUCAUUCAGCGUUGUGCGGAUCGAGAAAUUGUUCUCUUUAAUUGCUCAUUCUCUGGAAGAUGUGCACGUGGUCAUUCUUCACGUUGGCACUAACAAUGUCGGUGAAGAACCCCUCGUGCUGAUUGCCAGGUUCCGAUCACUGAUCUCCAGAAUUCUUGAUGUCAAUCCGUCAAUCCGUGUUGUAGUGUCUGCAAUUCUGCCGAGACAAGCGAGUUUGCGCAAGUGCCAGUGGGCGCUGUCUGUCAGAGAAUUGGAGGCGUUCAACACGGAUGCCGGGGAGACGAAUGCCAUUUUGCAGGCGCUGUGCCACAAGAACGGCUACGGUUUCGUGGACGGCACAUGCGAGCUGAUGGGGAUGCUGAAGGCUGACGGCGUGCACCCGACGAAACAUGGUAGCCAGCUGUUGGCGUGCCUGCUACGUGCAGCCAUCAAGCAAGCAAGCAAGGACCUUGAGGCAAGCCACAAUGGAGCAUUACAGCAGCAGCACCAGAAAGAAAAGGACCACCAGAAGCUUCAAUUCCAGUACAGUGAUCAGUCAAAAGGGCUGGCACAGUAUUGGAAUAAUUGCAGUGCUCAUGUUGGUUACCAUUCACGAGACCAUAAUAAGGACCUGCUGCCAGCCAUCAUGUCCUGGUCCUGACCUGCCUUUGGGAGGCUGACUCAGUCGUCUAGGUUGGCGAGCGGGUUCCUGCUUCUGGUCACCAGCCACGAUGGUGCAGUGACCAGCCACCAUGGUGCAUGCAUGGAUGGGACCCGUCUUCUAAAGCGGCACAGGUUCGGAGGUGCCAGUUAGCUUGCCAGUAUCCAUUCAAAUGUUAUGACUGGCAGUGCAAGGACCAAGUCUGCAAUAGACGCUCAUUGGCGUACCAGCCAAAUGUGGUACGCGCCCAGCAGAAACGCAAGAGGUGUCUGGGUGUGCUGCAGGGAACACGCAUCAGCGUUGCUGGGACAGACAGUUCAUGUUUGAGGAGAGGCGCAUGCGCGUACCGAGGAUAUGAAAAGCGCGUCGCAUGUGCGCUCAGGGCUCUCUUUGUGCUUUCGUUACGGCCAGUCCUGUCUCCUGUAAAAGCGCAUCUCGACGCCUUGUGUUUUUUACACCUGUAAAUAUGUAAAUAAAUCGUGUGUUUCUGUCGUCAAGAA